UACGGAGGGUGCAAGCGUUGCUCGGAAUCACUGGGCGUAAAGCGACCGCAGGCGGCCUGACAAGUCGGAUGUGAAAGCCCUGGGCUCAACUCAGGAAUUGCAUUCGAAACUGGUAGGCUCGAGUACGGGAGAGGGGGGUGGAAUUCCUGGUGUAGGGGUGAAAUCCGUUGAUAUCAGGAGGAACACCGGCGGCGAAGGCGGCCCCCUGGCCCGCAACUGACGCUCAUGGUCGAAAGCGUGGGGAGCAAACAGG
rnacentral:rRNA from 1 species